UUAGCAUAUAAACACCAUAGGGUCUCUUAACAAACUUAAAUUGUAAAAAAGCAAUAGAUUAAAUCCCUGAUUAUUAACAUUUCAAGGAUGGAAACCUACUUUCAAAUAAAAAUGCCUUUUUGAGGACAUUUUAGAAUACAUAUAAGGGUAUGAUUCUGGGAGACUGUUUUUGAUAGUUCUUUUCCUAUUCUUUGAAAUCAUAAAGUAAAUUAACAAAAGAAUCAAUAAUUAUGUUUUAACAGUUUCUUGAUGUAUUUAACAGACUGUUUCCUUAAUAGUAAUCUCCCAAGUGUUUCAGAAAUUUGUGUAAGAGCAAGAGUUUAUUUUCUGUUCAGAUGUAUUUCUGUAGACUAGAAAAAAAAAAGUUUAUGAAUUUAGAGUAGGCCAGUCUUAAAUAAUAAGAAACCAUGAAAUUUGAUCUUUGUAUUGUGAAAUGUGUUUUCACUGAGGACUUUUAAACUGUGUCCUCUCUUUAAACACAUAAGUAGUAUAGAAAGUAAAUCAGAUAUUUCAUUGGCAAAAUAUAAGUGCCCUAAUGCUUUGAUAAUGAUUAUUGAGACUUUUUUCCCCCACAUCUUAUAUAAGCAGUGGGGUCCGGAAAAUUAUCAAAAUAAUUUUGGAUAAGAUUGAGAUGAAGUGAAAAAAAUCCACGCAUGAUUAUGGUAUAUAUGUAUGUUGUUUUGCAACAGUGAAAGAGUGAAAAAGAAGAGUUUAGGAUCAAAAUUUAUCCACGUUAAUCAGAUUCCCUAGCAUUUUCUACUUUAUUGUGUAAUUGACUUUUUAGCUAAUAUGUAGUUAUUCCGUGUUUUAAUACAGCAGACAUCAGAAAAAAAUAAAUCUCAUUUGAGAAUCUAUAAUCUUGGCUUUAUCAAAUAUACAGACUACUCUAUAUUGUCUACCUAUCAACAUUCAAGCUAUUCAACAUUUGAGACAAUUUACAAACUAAAUAUAUUAUAAACGUUAAUUAAAGAAGUAAUUUUCAUUUUAAGAGAACUGCUCCUUCCGAGGGGUUAUUUUUAACAUUACAAAUAGCACUAUCCUUUGAGUAAAAUAAGAAUUAAUUACAAAUUAUACUUUUAGCAAAGGGAAAAUGCAAUUUUUAUUGGCCUGGGGGGCAUGUAUGCUAAGUAGUUUGUGGCCCAGUUUCCAUUUCUGUAUCUGUGCUGCCUCUGACCACGGAUUGGGUACUGCGGGAGGAAAGACUGUGAGGAGAAAGUUAAUAAAAGAAGCUACAUGAGUUGAUCAUAGUUCUGCUCAGAAACCUAUGUCCACCUGAAUUCAGAACCAGAAGAGAAAUUCUGACAGUCUGUUUCCCCAGCCCUUUUACAUCGAUUUCUGAGAGUUAGCAGUGGCAGAGAAGAGUUGUUGUCUCUGCCAUUUGCAAAGCCGACUGCUUGAUCCACAGCAAAUCAAACCCAGGAAAUCUUUUAGUCUUGUCCAUUUCAGUUCCACUUCCUUGCCAGGGGCAUAACAGCUGAAGUUAAAAGACUUAUACCCAAAUGGGAAAAUUAGUGCCAUUUGUGUAGAGGCAGUAGCCUUAUUCAAACUGCUUUCAACCUAAUUGGGAAAAAAAAAAAAGAGAGACUAUGACUUGAUUAGAAGUCCUCUGGGUUGGGUAGCACGUAGGAGACUAUGGCUCAAGAAUGCUUUUAGGUUUUUCACUUAUUUUGAAUUAGUUAUAGUUUGCAUUGUAUUCUCGGGUUUGUGUGUGUGUGUGUGUGUGUGUGUCUGUGUCUGUGUCAGCGUGUCAGUGUCCUUUUCUUCAGCUUCUACAAUUUGGAAUAGGCAAAAAGUACCAAAAUGGUAAACUUUAAAGUGACCAAGAUGGCAUCGGGUUGGUCAUGUAAAAGUUCUUCCACUACUCCAGCACGUCUGUAACAGAGGUAAUGCCCCGCUGGAUUUACUUCCGUGUAUUGUAAAUUUAGGGUUUUUUUUUUUUUUUUUUUGCUUAGAAGUAAUCUCAGUUUUGAGAAGGGGAGCAGAGAAGGAAAAGAACUUUGCCUAAAAACCAGUGCCAUCCGACAACCGAUGUCUUCAAUUAGCUCUGUCAAAUUUCGGGUGAACUUUGGCCCUGUUAGUAAAUUGGAUAUGUAUUAAAGAAGAUUUUUAACAAAUCAGCUCAGAAAGGCCUGCUCCAGAAACUUGUGGUGCCUCACAGGAGUUAUGGACUAGGUGUAGACUUUAAUAUGGGAAGCUUCUAUGUUUGAGGCCCAGCUGAGCACUUAACUUCUGGUCAUGUGACAUGGGCACAUCUUCUAAAAGCUCUCCACCUCACUUUCCACAUUUGUUAAAUGAGAUUAUUAAUGUUAAUCUAGUACCUUCUUCACAGGGCUGUUGGGAGAAUCAAAUGAGCUUUACAUAUGUGGAAGUAUUUUGUAAGCAUACCUGAAUGUUUUUAGUGACAGGGGAGAGAUCGUUUUGGAAUUACUUCCAAAGAGAAGAAGAAAUUAAAGAAUGCGACGAAUUCAUUUUUUUGUUCUCUUCAGUCACCAAAGCUCUUGAGCCUUUAUGACCUCACCUGAAUAUAGAGCUUCCUAAUCUGUUGUCCAUGGAUCACAAGUGACCCACAGAGAGAAUUCAGGGGAUCAUGAACUUGGAUGCAAAAAAAAAAAAAUGUGUUUGCAUUCUAUUCGUGCUAACCACUAAUUGGAAUUUAGCAUUUCCUUCAAUUUUGAGUGGAGGUGACAAGUUGCAGUAGUAUUUUAGCAGGACCUGUGAUUUUAUCACCGCUAAAAAUUACAAGUAAUUUAUAUUACAUUACAGUUGUUGCUGACAUCUAGAAAUACUGUCUACGGGUGACCCAGCUUUGACAUAACGUUAGUUACAAGACAUCUGCUAGAUCUUGUAAUUUAAUAUGUUAAGAAUCCCGUGUAUGACUAUACUAUAUGUGCAUUUUAAUAUUUAGAUAUUUCAAUGUAAUUGGUUUCCUUUGUAACCUAGUAUGCUGUAUUUUAUGCAUUUCGCGUGAGAAGGGGUCCAUAGAUGCAAAAACUUUUUUUGAAGUUUUUAUUCUGACAGAGGGCCUACCGGCUUUACCAGAUACUGAUAUUAAAAGGAUUACUGGUACACUAGCUACUCACAUAGCCACAUCUGAUAGUGUACUCCAUGGUGAGAAAAUCCAGUUAUUCAAGUUAAAAUAGCUUAGCGUUACAGUAUAACGAAACAGUGCACUGGACAAUACGAGGCACAGAUCUCUUCAUCUGGUGUCACCUCUCUCAUGCAUGGUGGAUUCAGGCCAGACUCUGCAGUGCACUCAGAGGGGUGAAGAUCACAGGGCAUGACAAGCCACAUACGUACCCUCCAGUUUAGAUGUCUCCUAAUAUCUGUAGGUGAUGUCUAAACAAUAGAAUAAGAACGUUAUUAUUCUUGUUUCAUAACGAUGGAAUAAGAAUGUGCAGCUAGAAACCCAAACAAGAAGAUAAAUGUUUACAUUUCAUUUUUAAAUUUUAUUUUGUGCUUUUGCAAUUGUCCAUUUGACAUAAAAAAUGGCAAUAAUUAAGAUUACUCUGCUCCCAUGGUCUUUGUUUAAAUGUCAGAAUACUCAUGGAAUGCCUAAUAUAUUUGCAUCUUCCUCCUCAAAUAGAGUUUUAGUUUCUUUAGAUGGCAAUCCUGUGUUGUCAUAUUUUCUGUUGAUUUUAUUUAGCACCUAAUAAGAGAUAAUAAAUUAUACUGGUGUAUGCUUUGAAUGGUUAA